AGUUUGAUCAUGGCUCAGAUUGAACGCUGGCGGCAUGCCUUACACAUGCAAGUCGAACGGCAGCACGGACUUCGGUCUGGUGGCGAGUGGCGAACGGGUGAGUAAUGUAUCGGAACGUACCUUUCAGUGGGGGAUAACGUAGCGAAAGUUACGCUAAUACCGCAUAUUCUGUGAGCAGGAAAGCAGGGGAUCGCAAGACCUUGCGCUGAUUGAGCGGCCGAUAUCAGAUUAGCUAGUUGGUGGGUAAAGGCCUACCAAGGCUACGAUCUGUAGCGGGUCUGAGAGGAUGAUCCGCCACACUGGAACUGAGACACGGUCCAGACUCCUACGGGAGGCAGCAGUGGGGAAUUUUGGACAAUGGGGGCAACCCUGAUCCAGCCAUGCCGCGUGAGUGAAGAAGGCCUUCGGGUUGUAAAGCUCUUUCGGCCGGGAAGAAAUCGCAUAGGCUAAUACCCUGUGUGGAUGACGGUACCGGAAUAAGAAGCACCGGCUAACUACGUG
rnacentral:rRNA from 1 species